GACGAACGCUGGCGGCGUGCUUAACACAUGCAAGUCGAACGGAAAGACCCUGCUUUUGUGGGGUGCUCGAGUGGCGAACGGGUGAGUAACACGUGAGUAACCUGCCCUUGACUUUGGGAUAACUUCAGGAAACUGGGGCUAAUACCGGAUAGGAUCUCCUGCUGCAUGGUGGGGGUUGGAAAGUUUCGGCGGUUGGGGAUGGACUCGCGGCUUAUCAGCUUGUUGGUGGGGUAGUGGCUUACCAAGGCUUUGACGGGUAGCCGGCCUGAGAGGGUGACCGGCCACAUUGGGACUGAGAUACGGACCAGACUCCUACGGGAGGCAGCAGUGGGGAAUAUUGCACAAUGGGCGGAAGCCUGAUGCAGCAACGCCGCGUGCGGGAUGACGGCCUUCGGGUUGUAAACCGCUUUCGCCUGUGACGAAGCGUGAGUGACGGUAAUGGGUAAAGAAGCACCGGCUAACUACGUG
rnacentral:rRNA from 1 species